GGGUUGUGAGGUUAAGCGACUAAGCGUACACGGUGGAUGCCCUGGCAGUCAGAGGCGAUGAAGGGCGUGCUAAUCUGCGAUAAGCGCCGGUAAGGUGAUAUGAACCGUUAUAACCGGCGAUACCCGAAUGGGGAAACCCAGUGUGACUCGUCACACUAUCAUUAACUGAAUCCAUAGGUUAAUGAGGCGAACCGGGGGAACUGAAACAUCUAAGUACCCCGAGGAAAAGAAAUCAACCGAGAUUCCCCCAGUAGCGGCGAGCGAACGGGGAGGAGCCCAGAGCCUGAAUCAGCAUGUGUGUUAGUGGAAGCGUCUGGAAAGGCGCGCGAUACAGGGUGACAGCCCCGUACACAAAAGCGCAUGUGCUGUGAGCUCGAUGAGUAGGGCGGGACACGUGGUAUCCUGUCUGAAUAUGGGGGGACCAUCCUCCAAGGCUAAAUACUCCUGACUGACCGAUAGUGAACCAGUACCGUGAGGGAAAGGCGAAAAGAACCCCGGCGAGGGGAGUGAAAAAGAACCUGAAACCGUGUACGUACAAGCAGUGGGAGCACCCUUUGGGUGUGACUGCGUACCUUUUGUAUAAUGGGUCAGCGACUUAUAUUCUGUAGCAAGGUUAACCGAAUAGGGGAGCCGGAGGGAAACCGAG
rnacentral:rRNA from 2 species